CCUACGGGCGGCAGCAGUGGGGAAUAUUGCACAAUGGGGGAAACCCUGAUGCAGCGACGCCGCGUGAGCGAUGAAGUAUUUCGGUAUGUAAAGCUCUAUCAGCAGGGAAGAAAAUGACGGUACCUGACUAAGAAGCCCCGGCUAACUACGUGCCAGCAACCGCGGUAAUACGUAGGGGGCAAGCGUUAUCCGGAUUUACUGGGUGUAAAGGGAGCGUAGACGGUCCUGCAAGCCAGAUGUGAAAGCCCGGGGCUCAACCCCGGGACUGCAUUUGGAACUGUAAGGCUAGAGUGUGGGAGAGGCAGGCGGAAUUCCUAGUGUAGCGGUGAAAUGCGUAGAUAUUAGGAGGAACACCAGUGGCGAAGGCAGCCUGCUGGACGAUGACUGACGUUGAGGCUCGAAAGCGUGGGGAGCGAACAGGAUUAGAUACCCCUGUAGUC
rnacentral:rRNA from 1 species